GGUCCCGAGUCCUUUUCCGCGUAAAAUCUACUGUGACAUCAUCAAAUCUAUUGUUUUAGAGCCCUACGUCACGGUAGAUUAGUCCGCUGAGCGAUGCAUCGCAUGCAGAUUGCGGGCGCUCGCAUCAGUUCACUGAUGCAAAUUUCAAAAUCAAAAUCUACUGUGACGUAACGAGGCAUUCGAUUCAAGUCAUGGCGGCAAGGAUAUGCAAACACAUAUGCAAAUGAACAAAUAAUGCGAAGAAAUAUCCCUCGAAUAUGAUGGAGAGCAAUUAAGUUACUGUCGAAUUAAUUACCAAGGUUUGGAAUGAAUUUAAUCUUUCAACUGAGCAGUGAGCACAAGAAUUGAAGUAUAUUUAUGCUGUGAGAAUGUGAGAUGCCCACUACGGCCACUAAGGGCUCUAAAGUAAGUGGAAUUUAUGUAUAUUUUACAUUGUAGUACAUUGUUAAUUGUUCAGUUCAAGAAGUGCAUAAAGUGGAAAAUUGGCUCCACAGUUAAUGUAGAUUUGUAUGUAUUUAUAACAUAAUAAUUAAAGUUUGUGUCUAUUUGAUACUGCUGUUCAUACCAGGAGGGGGGUUGUGAGGGGGGUGGGGGGAUGAGGUAGUUUGACAUUUUAGACAUUUUACAGUAUUUACAGAGAUUUGUUUGUCUGGAGGCAAACCAGCCCCAUUACCAAACUUGACAGCUUGCUUUACUGAGGCAAAUUUCAUCUCUGUUUACAUGGGAUUUAUAUAACCUGUGCCCAUGCAGACCUUCAUUUUUCUCACAGCUGGCGGGCAAAGAAAAAUGAAGACCUGAUAAAGUCGCAUGUUAUUAAAUGUUUGUGUCCUACAACUGCCUUUAUGGUUGUAACUCUGAUUGCCGGCUACUUCUAGCAUGAGUAUUCAUGCCAUAUUUAAUGUAUUUUUUUGAUAUUUUGGUUAGUGCUAUAUAUAAUUAAAUAAUGAUAGAUUAAAUAGUGAUUGUAACUAUAUUUAGCUUGUUGUUAAAUUAUGUGAAAUAAUUUGACAUUGCGCCUGGCACAUUUUGAUUGGAUACCGGUACUAAAAAUAAAACUUUGGUCUGGGUCAAGACUUGCAUCAGGCUCUGUACAGUAUGUAAUUACAAUGCAUAAUAAUAUUGCAGGUUAAUUAACCCAUUGAGUCGCAUUGCACCCUGAUGCACCCUACUUUAGUAUUUUACUCUGUCUAAUGCCAGACGAUUUUACUCGUCAAGGGGAGAGCGCUGGCGCUUAAUGGGUUAAUGAGCUGGAUUUCUAAUAGUGAUGCAAUAUUGGUUAGAAAACAUUACAUUUCAUUUUAUAUGGAAAUGAGCUGGCAUGCCUCAUGACAAGAGUAUAAUUGCUUUGCACUGCCUGAGUUAUUGGGCAAUUACUGUACACUGGAUAUUUUGCAAACAAAGAUCAUUACCUGGGCGUGCUCGCCUACCAUAGUUUGGUACAUAUGCAUUGUCGGUGCAAAUAUAAUUUGAAAUAAGCUGUAUAUGUCAUUCUGUUGACAAAUUUUAAUCUUAGAAUGAUAAAAUGAUGGACGUUAUAAAUACUGUAUAUAACUGCAUGUAACUGGUGUACAUAGGUUAUAAUUAUGAAAUUUGCUCACAAAAGUGGUAUAGAUUUAAUUAAAUUAUAUAUAUUUGUAGUGCUUAAUUCUCCCAAUACUAUAUGUUUUGGAUAGCCAGCAUGGCUCUCUGAGGAUUACCAUUUAUUAGUGUACGGAUAUAUUUGACGAAGAUGUGCAUUUAUAUAGUAACACAGAGAAAAUAUUGAUCAAUAUUACUGCGCAGCCUUUCUACAUUGACAUCAUCUUAAAAGAGUACUAUAUUAAUAUAUUAGUUGAAAGGCAGGCAAAAAGGGACUGAUAGAAGACAUCUAAUGAUUCAAUUAUGUCAUCAUAUAUUGUUUAUCAUUGUACAGUUUGGUAGGUUCAUUUGACAAACAAUUUUCAACUAAGAUAGUACAUUAAAUCAAUUUACACACAGUAUCACUAUAUAAUAUAUAUCUAUUGAUUUAAAGUUUGGGGUCAUGUGUACCUUUAUACUUAUAGAAUUUUAAAACUAAGUGCUUGUUGUGUGUUAGUUGUACUGGUUUCCUGGUGACAGGGCAAUAUUCUCAGUAAUUUAGAGUGUGGGCUAGUCACCAUGCAAAUAUGCAAUUCACAUCAAAGGCAUCUAUUGCUAGGGGUGAAUAAAGUUGACAUACUGAUGCCAACAACACUGUCCAUACAGAGUAAGGUUAGCAGCAUAAGACAGAGUUGUAUAUAAAUAAGUUUACCAACUAGAGCACAAAAUACCUUUAUGCACCAUUCUAAUGCUAAAAAAUUUACUCAUGGAACAUUGCAAAUUAGUGGAAAUGAAUAAGCCUCAGGGAAGGUGGUUAAGAAACCUAAUAACAUUGUCUUUUGAGUCCAACAUUGCAACUAGUGGAUCACACUGUAUACACCUUUGUUACACGGAUGUGUGUAUUUGCGUUGUCGUGAUUUUUUGCCGAAAUGUUUUUCAAUAGAAAAGUUAAGGCUACAAGAAGCACAGUAGUAAGUACUGACUAUUUUUUAAUAGAGACUUAUGCACCGCUGCUGCUAUUACAAUUGUACAAGCAAAUAUUUUUUCUUAUAUGGAAAAAUUAUGUUGUUUUUGCGAUAUAUAGGUUCAAGUUUUUUACGUGCUUUCCAAAAAUGCAGCAAAUAAAUUUGUGACUCUGAUGUAUGAAUUGGAACAAAAGAGUUUGCUCAGAACGCAGGAAAUCGCAUUUCCGAGGUUCUAGAUUUCAAAAUUUCCCGGGGGAGGAUACCCCCGGACCCCCCGACAAAUGCGAGUUCUUAUGUAUGCAUCAGUCAGUUC